CACUUUCUCACACACACUCGUCGUAUUUAUCAAGAAGUAGCUUAAAAAGCACUUUUUAAAAUGACUUUUAUGGGCACGGAACGGUGUCUUUGACGGAAUUCAGUGGCGUCUAAACUCCGCCGGUGCCACCCACCGGAGUAAGAACAGAGAGAGGUGAAGAUAACUCCCUAAUGCUACUUAAGCCUCGGUUUCUCCCGAGAGUUCCUGGUGAGAGCUGGACUCGAAGAGACUCGGCGACUUAAGCAACUUUCAGUGUUUGCCGGAUCAGCAUGGAAGAGCGGGGUCUUCUGAGAGAGAGACUUCACGCCAUCACUGAGAAGCAUCGCAUUCAAGGGGACAUCAGACUGAAGAAGCAGGAGCUGGACCAGGAGAAGCUCAAACUGCAGCAUCUAAAGAAACGCUGCUUGAGAGAACAGUGGCUCCUCCAGGACUCCUCUUCCCACAAUGCAGCAGAAUCACCGCGGCAGAAGAAACUUCUGUCUGACCAACAGCAGACGAGAGCUCUGGAGAAAAACAUCUUUAGAAUAGAGAAAGAGCUGGAGUCUCUGGAGAGGGAGGAGUCUCUCAUCUCCACUAAUGAGAGCUUCAUCCUGAACAGACUGAAGGUGGUGGAGAAGAGUCCAGCCGACAUCAUUAAGGAGGCCCAGAAGAGUUUUGUGGCAGAUGUGCCACAGAGCAACACUAUGACCCCUAAUGUCGCGCUGCUUGAUGAAAACACUGAAGAGCAAGAUGUGUUCGCCAUGGAGGUCAGCGUUGCCAAAAACCUGCUGACUGGAGAGAGCACAGUCCUCUCGGCUACCAGGGUUCAACCCGAGGACAUUCACCAGAGCGCUGGGCAGAAGGUUUAUGUAGACUCAAGGAGCUGUGUGUACGCGCUUGACUCGCAGGAGGACUCUCGACGUCUGAGCCGGAUGUCGGUGCUGUCAGCCGACGAGGUGGAACAGUUGCUGAGGAACGCGGCGCAGAACAAAGUCAACCACCAACGUUCAGUCCACAACCACCACAGGGGGGCGCCACGUUGCUGUUACAACCACAAAGAUGAGUGGGAGAACAGAGAGGGGCCACUCCGACCGACCGUCAGUCACCACGGUGCAAGUAAUAAGACAUUUGAGCGCGACUGCAGAGAGAGCAGGUCCAAGAUCAUGCUGGAGGAGCUGAGGCGAGCUCGGCAGGAACGGCAGAAGUGCCGGGAAGAGAGGAGAAACUCGAGCUGUCUCAGGUGUGGACAGAAGGAUCAACUGCCCCAGGGCCAGCGGCGCUCUUUGCAGGACGAUCACCAUGGAAGCCACCACACCUGCCACAUCACCAGAAGCUGCAGCAGCGUGAGCCAGUGUCUGCCUCCCAGGUCACAUGACCCGGAGGAGGUGAGCUGCCAUCACCCCCGGCUGCGCUACACUCCAGCCAGCCACAUCCCUCUGGAUGACUAUGUGAGCGUGGAGCAGGAGCAGGUCUACUGCUACAACGGUGGGCCGGCACCCUCCCCGCUGUGUGAAGACGACGCCCCCUACACCAUUCUCAACUCCUUGGACACCUCUGAGCCCAUCACCGCCGUGUUCAUGGGCUUUCACACCACGGAGGACGACCGGAGUCGAGACUUCGAGGGGUCGCUGAAAGCCGAGCUGAUUGUCAUCAGUGAUGACGCUGAUGACAAAAUGGACAAGAGGGCGAAGCAGGGGCAGCGCCUCCAGGGGGCAGCAGUGAGCAGCUCAGUCAACGGAGGGGGGCGGACGCAGAAGGGGCCAAGUGUCAGGAAGAUCCACAAGAAGCACAAAGCCUGUUGUUCAGUCUGUUGACUGCAACUGAGAGACUUGUGGCCACUGGGGGUCGCUGAAGUCAUACACCCCCCCACUGCUCUGGCUUUCAUGGAGUGAUCUAUUUAUUUGGGAACCAAUGUCACGGACUGACAGUGGCACUGGUUACACAUUCUGCAGUGACGCACCCGGGAGGUUGAAGAGGGCAGGCAGUACUACUGGAAUGGAUGGUCUUAGUAAAGUAGGAUUUCCAUCUUCAUGUCCUCACUGCGUACUUUCAUGUUUUUAGUUCAUGAUAUUGACGGACUUACACUUGGGACAGGAAGCAGUGAAUCUAAACAUGAGUGCACAUAGACACUCGGUCGGUUUCAAUUUACCACUGGGGGAAAAUUAAAAAAGAAAACAAAAAAAAACAUGCUUUUAUUCAUCGUUUUAACUGCUGUUAAGUUUAGAAAGUAAUAACCAGUGUUGUCCAAUAUUAGCUGGCAAUGGGCUGUUUCAUGACUGUCCUAAUUUAGAGACCACUAGAUGGCACUCUCUGUUCUAUAGAAGAAUUAAAUGAAUGUAGCCUUGCAUCAUUUUUUUCAGUGAGAGCGCCACCUUCUGGGUUCUGAAAGUGAGGACGGUGUUUCAAGAAACCUUAUCAGUCCUUCACUACUAGCAAUGAAAAGUAAAUGUGGACAUGUUAGCAGACAAGCUGGAGUUGGUUAUAGUGGCAGUGUGGGUGCAUGAGAAAGACAGGAGGUGAUACCAGCGUCUCUUUUAUUGAGCUUUGCUCUGCUGUUACAGACAACCACAGGGCGUGCAAGCAGCGCGACAUGGACAAGACGCCCUCGCCUACAGGUCGUGCAGGACCUCCAGCACGGUGGCCAGGGACCACGCCUGCGUCUCGCAGCUGAAUGGACAGAACUGACCGUUCUCGUUGGUCAGCUCCGGAAGACCUCGCCACGGAGACCUGAGAGAAGGCCGGACGGAGCAGCGGAAGAUCCCGGAGGAGAAAUGCGGGAGACCUGACAGGAGCGCAAGCUUUAAGGACGCAUCCAGGAGGGUUGAAAACCAUGUGAGAAGUUUACCUGCGGCUAAGGAGACGCAGCACUGCUCCUUCUGACCGGUGAUGGGGUUGAGCCGGUACGGAACAUCGUUCAAAGCGGCAGAGAGAGGAGGGAGGGCAGAGAAGCGGCCCACUCCACACAUCUGGAGAGAGCCCAGCGCAAGGUGACGGACAAAGCUGGAGCCAUUCUGCACAAAGCUGCGGCUGCAGAAACAUGUCAUGGACUCACUGAGCCAGUGGUUUCAGCAGAGCCUCGGGUGGAUUGUCGUCAGCCACGCUUCCUUUUUUGUAUUUUGGACUGAACUGGGACAGGUAAUGCCUCAGAACACCGACCAACUUCUGAGCCGUGGGAUCUAAACUGACCCUGAGAGACAGAAGAAGACACCAUCACGGAUGUAACCAUAAGAAUGCUGCACCAUUCUAUAAGGUUCCGUUGUGUUCACCUGAACGCGAUAACACUUCCUGGUGUCAACUUCUGGAAGGUGAUUUCCUGCACAAACUCAGAGCGGCCUUUAGAUGUCACUCCAGCUUGCUUCACCACCGUGCUUUCCUGCAACUGUUCCACCACACCCAUUAGACAUCUCCAACAGUCACAAAUAACAGUCUGCAGGAGACUAACUGGUAUGUGCUCCUUUAUUUCCACAGUGUAGUCUGGCAGGCCGUUGAUGUACUUGUCAUCUUUCUUAUAACCUCCGGCGCUCCUCUCCACCGUCCUGGCUUCCAACACCACUUCCUCAAUCUUCCCUGUGGGCAGGAAAUUGUGCGUUCAAGAGGAAUAUGUGACAGAAAUGACGGCCAGAAUACUGACCUGGUAUAAACAUGGGGGGGACACUGUUGUUGUACUGGUGGGUUUUGGGGUUCCAGAAGGCUGUUCUACACACCGACACCACUGACUGGUGAGUCGAUGGACAGUGACGGGUCACAGCGACGAUGUCGGAAUCAACCUGGUCUACAUACACCUGUGUGGAAAAGGUCAGAAGGAAGGAGCAAUGAGGGGUGGAGCCUAUAUAAAAACGACAACAUAUGAUGACCCCAGUUGCACCUGUAUGAAUCCUUGUGCUGCCAGCUCCUGGUGCAGCUUGUUGAGAGCCAGCUUCCCAGCGAUGAUACCAGUCUGGAAACCAACCUCACCAGGGUGGAGAAGUUUGUUAUUUAUGGGCAUCCGCUGCACCGUACCUCGUAUCAGCGAUGAGAUUCCUAGCCUGGUUACGAAGACAUUGUCCAGCUCUUCACUGCCGGUGAACAGCUCAGCCACCACAUACAGGUUAGGACACACUUUCCUGGCCACAUCCAGCAAAAACUGACCGGCAAGACGGGCGGCCAGAAGCAACACGGAUGCGUUAGAAGGCGAGUGAGGAGUGCAAACCAGGAGGUCAAAGCACGAGCCGUUGAGGGUAAAAGCCGGGGUGUGGGGGCAGAAAUGAGAGACAAAGUUAGUGGAUGGCACACAGCUGUACCUCGUAUCAGGCUGCUAAUUCCCAGCCGGUUCACAAAGACAUUGUCAAUCAGCUCACUGCCAGUAAAGAGCUCAGCGAUGACGUACAGAUUGGGUCGGACACAUCUGGCUGCAUCUAACAUGGCCUGGAUGAGACAACACACCAGAGACUACUUGACACGGAGCUCUUCUUUAACAACACCUGCCCACUAAGAAAACGCUGCCGUAACAGGUACAAGUCGAGCACAACAACAUGGCAAGUUGCCUGGUUUCUGCUUAUAUUGAGCUGACUGACCUCAGCAACGUGCAGCGGUGUGGAGUGGCAGUUGUCCAGACGGACUCCGUGGAAGUAUUUAGCUGUGAUUUCAGUGUACUUCUGCAUGUGAGCCCACAGGUACGGGCAGUCCUCUGGUCCUUUACCAUAGCGAAGCUUAACACUGUCGCCCCAACAUAUCAGCUCGCGGCGCAGGUAGACAUUUGACCCUGGAGUGGAAAAAUGCCAAGCACAGAUAUUUAAAAUACAUCUGUAAGUGUAUUAAAUCUAUAAGCUGCUGAGCUUUGGGUUCACCUGGUUCUGCAAAGUUGCGCAGCGGAUCGUCCCCCAUCACCCACCCAUUGUGUGCUAGGAAAUUACACAUUUUAUCUGGGUCAUUCAGGAGCAGCAUCUCCUGCUCCAGAGUCAUGUCCUUGUAAGGGAAGGUGAAGUACCUACAACAGCAACGAAUGGGCUUCAGCCAGCCAGUUGGAAACUGAAAUAUUCACUUGAAAUUGUUCUAUCAAUGUAAUUCUAAACAUCUUAAAACCCCCAACUACUGUCUGAAGUGAGUCCACAGCACCCAGGACGUGUGCGUGCGUGUCUCUCCACUUCUAACACCAACUAACGUGCCAGCACAGUUCUGUACAGGCUGCUCAUUGUUGCUGACUCAUUGUUGUCUGAGUCAGAUGACCUUCUUCUGAAUAAUUGAGGAUGUGAAGUUGUAAGGACAGAGAGCGACUCGAUUCAGAUCUGAUCUCAUCACAGUUGGCUGCAUUCAGUAGAAAAAUAAAUCAGAAUAAAAAUGUUUGUGUUGUUUUACAAAAAUUCUAUUUAUAUAUUGACUGACUGUUUUAUGACACUUUUACAGGGGUUCAUUUCUGUGGCCUCCCCACAAGAGGAAGCCCAAACCAGAGGCAGUUUGGAAGUUUGCCCACACGUAUCAGCAGCACUCAGUGACCCCCAGACAUGAGCAUCCCUUGAUAGAGCUUCCCCAUGUCCUUUCAAAUUCAUUUUAGUGUAGAGCACUUUGAGUUUCCUCUCUUACGAAAGGACCCAGCUUGGGGCCAUGUUCCGCCAGCCUCUCGUACACAACAUUCCCUAUGAUGCAGUUGACUGCCUGGAGGUAGAGUGAGCGGAUAGAAAUCUUCAGAGGUGAUGCUGUGUCUUCGUAUUUACACAAACCCACAGCGAAGAACAAAGACGGACGCAUUUUUUAAAUUGAUUGUCCAGUUCACUAAUAUGUCUUCCACCUGCUCCUGAUGCUGAUGGACGAUGUGGUGUUGCUCCUUGUUCAGCUCGUUCAGUUUCUGCCUCAGCCAACCGCAGCAGUCCUCUAUGUGAUGUGAGGAGGAGCUGCAAAGAGAGGAGACACCAUUACAGUUCAGGUGAAACCUUCUCAGCAAGUCAAAGCCUCAAGUUGUGAAAAAUACAUUGACCUUUAAUUAUUUUAAAAUAUGUUAAAGUAGGCAAAUCACCCAUUUGAACCUUCCACACAGAACAAUAUAAGAUUAUUAAUUCAUAAAGUCACAUAAUUGUUUUGUCCAGUACUGAACGCAGCUUUGCGACGCACUUUUGGAUCCCGACCCACCAGGUGAGAAUCACUGCACUAGAGAGGGAUUUCCGUAAUGUAUCCCCUUGGCUUUCCAAGGCC